rnacentral:tRNA from 1 species
GGGGGGUUAGCUCAGUUGGUUAGAGCAGAGGACUCAUAAUCCUUUGGUCGCGGGUUCAAGUCCCGCACCCCCUACCA